UUAAGGACAAGGAUUGAUUGAGUUGGUAGUUAUAACGGCGUGACCAAACUUGUGUCAAUGCGCGUUCACGUGCAUUUAUCAUUCUUCACUAUUACUUCCUUAUUUCUUUUCUCAUCAUUUUCCAACAUACAACAUCGAAAUAGAAUCAUCUAAAGAACAAAGCGAUGGAACCUCCUCAAACACAAUCCAUUGAUGUUUCAACCGCAGCUGGAGAUGAUGUUCAAGACAAACUCAUCAACAAUUGUUGUUCUUGCUGCUAUGAUUGUAUACAAGGUUUCUUUGACUACUUGUGUUCCAACUUGUGUUGAACUCUUUGAAUCAAAAUUUCAAUAGCAAUAUAUGUAGAAUCGAAUGAUGUAACGGGGUUUACCUUGCUAAUUUCCUAACCUUUCUUUAUCAUAGAAUUAGUGUAUGUUAAUUAAUUAUAAUUAAUUUUAAAGAAUUGUGCUUUCUGAUUAUUAUAUUCUCCUUUUCCUUUGUAUUUGGGCCACUUUACAAACAGAAUUUGAAUUUAUUCCAUCCAAA